GGUCUGGAGCGUUUCUUGGAUGCUCCAGAAUUAUGGACAAAGCAUAAUUCUACGUUAUCACAGUGGAGGCAGUCAGAAGUGGCAGACUGAAAGAAAUCAUACAUGACCACUGUGAGUAAUACUGUUUUAGGCUAAACUUUCAUUUA
rnacentral:lncRNA from 1 species